rnacentral:rRNA from 1 species
GGGUAACCUGCCUGUAAGACUGGGAUAACUCCGGGAAACCGGGGCUAAUACCGGAUGGUUGUUUGAACCGCAUGGUUCAAACAUAAAAGGUGGCUUCGGCUACCACUUACAGAUGGACCCGCGGCGCAUUAGCUAGUUGGUGAGGUAACGGCUCACCAAGGCAACGAUGCGUAGCCGACCUGAGAGGGUGAUCGGCCACACUGGGACUGAGACACGGCCCAGACUCCUACGGGAGGCAGCAGUAGGGAAUCUUCCGCAAUGGACGAAAGUCUGACGGAGCAACGCCGCGUGAGUGAUGAAGGUUUUCGGAUCGUAAAGCUCUGUUGUUAGGGAAGAACAAGUACCGUUCGAAUAGGGCGGUACCUUGACGGUACCUAACCAGAAAGCCACGGCUAACUACGUGCCAGCAGCCGCGGUAAUACGUAGGUGGCAAGCGUUGUCCGGAAUUAUUGCGCGUAAAGGGCUCGCAGGCGGUUUCUUAAGUCUGAUGUGAAAGCCCCCGGCUCAACCGGGGAGGGUCAUUGGAAACUGGGGAACUUGAGUGCAGAAGAGGAGAGUGGAAUUCCACGUGUAGCGGUGAAAUGCGUAGAGAUGUGGAGGAACACCAGUGGCGAAGCGACUCUCUGGUCUGUAACUGACGCUGAGGAGCGAAAGCGUGGGGAGCGAACAGGAUUAGAUACCCUGGUAGUCCACGCCGUAACGAUGAGUGCUAGUGUUAGGGGGUUUCCGCCCCUUAGUGCUGCAGCUACGCAUAGCACUCGCUGGGGAGUACGGUCGCAGACUGAACUCAAGGAUGACGGGGCCGCACAGCGUGAGCAUGUGUUUAUCGAGCACGCGAGACUAACAGUCUGACAUCUCUGACAUCCUAGAGAUAGACGUCCAUCGGGGCAGAUGAAGUGGUGCAUGGUUGUCGUCAGCUCUGUCUGGAAUGUAGCUAAGUCCGCACGAGGCACUGACUAGUGCAGCAUCAUGACCUUAGGACUGCGUCAAACG